GAAUGCUUGUACAAUUGAUGUGUAAGUUUCAAGGGAAUAUGAGAUGAAGCUUAUGAUGGCAGUGUAUGACUAUUUGUUUUCUUUCUUGUGUGAUUGAAUUAAGGUUCGUGCUGCAAGAGCGACUUUAAGUAAAGGAUUUAACCGUGCACUAGGAAAGUAGGGCGGUGGAAGAGAAUUGGGUAGUUUGUUGUGGUUGUAUAAAUGUUGAUAAUCGGAAGGUAUGUAUAGUUGUGGUCGUAUAACUGUUGAUGGUGGUGGUUUGUUGGCUGGGGAGGCUGAACAGCGGUGGAGGAAAGUAGGGCGGUGGAAGAGAAUUAGGAAGAAGGGUGCCGCCACGAGGUCGAAGUGACGGGGCUGAGCCUAGUCGUGGUGGUCCCGAGCAAAGAAGAGGGAUGAGACAAUAGGGAGGCAAAAGGAGGUUGAUGGGUAGUCAAUCUGCUUUUAACCUUCUUAUUUUUUAUUUUUUUUUAGAAUUAACGGUCAAAUUUAACGGACCUUGACGGCAGCCACCUUAUUAAAAGGCGGAGGUACAGUCCAGCCACCGAUCUGUAAUUUUUGAACUUNAUUUAGACAAUAUCUGGUUAGUAUUAAAAAGCUUGACAGGCGGAAAGAGGUGUUUUAAUAUACUAUAUUAGGGUAUAAGUUAAAAGUUGGUUUUAAUUUUAUUAUGACUUAGAGAAUAUUUAUAAGAUUUAAAAACUAAAAUUUUAAUCUGAUUGAUGACAUGUUUAAAAUUUUAUCAUAAGAAAUGCUAAAGGUUCUACCAAUCGUUUAACAGCAUGAUAGUAUUGCAAAAAUAAGUAAAAGUUAUUGAAUGUUGUCAGUUGCCGAAAAAUUUACGGUUUAUAUGAUAUAUAACUUUAAAUUAUAAUAGAUACGGUUGGAAAUGAAUCCGAGUAAUUCAGAUUCAAUCCGAAUUCGACGGUUAAAAACGAAUAUAAUUUAUAUUUGUAUAAAAGAUUAGCGGAUUUCAAUUCAGUUUUAUAAAUCAAACCAAUAUCGAAUCAGAUUCUAACAUUGUGACACGCGGACAUAUAUAUCUAGAGUACUUCAGCUAAAUUAGGAUUGCUCGAUUUAUAUAUUUAAUAAUUUGUAAAUCAUGGAUAUUAUUAUGUACUAUAGUAUAUAUCAUAUAAAUAUUAUUUAUAUUAAUAUAGUACUCCACAAAUGAUUUUAUUUUAGUUAUAAUAAAUAAUUAUUCAAGUAUUCAUGAUUUUUUUAAGAGUAAAUGACAAAAUGGUGGCUGAGAUUUGGUGAAUUUUACAAAACGGUGGGCUGGACUUCAAAAAUUCCGAUAUAAUGGCCGGAGUUUACUUCCGCCUUUUAAAAAGGCGGCGGCCGUCCAUUGCCAUUAGUUUUGCUUCGUUAAGUCUAAAAAGUCAAAUAAAUGAAGGGUAUAUUUGGGAAUUAACCCAAUAUUUACAUUAUCAAAUAAAGUUUGGGUCUUUAAACUAUGCACACCAACUGUUUGAUGAAAUGAUUGUGUACACCAACUGUUUUGCUCCCUCUGAAACGUUGCCGGCGGUGACUCGCGGAGGAAAAAGAAGAGGACGGUGAUAGUUGUGGAAAAGCACUGGUGUGUGUAUUUGUAGGUGUAUGGGUGGAGCAAGGUUGGUGUUGCAGCGGUGGAGCAAGGAUUGGGAUCGAUUAUUGAGGGUGAAAAAGAUUGAGAGUAGGUCAAUCGGAAGGGGAAAGAGGCCGAAAAGCUCGGCCAUGACAAGUCACCGCGAUGGCGUUUGGCCUCGACGACGCAAAGAAGCGCAUGGAUGGAGCAAGGAUUAAACAUGAUUAAAAAUGCUAAGUAUUGUGUGUGAUUAAUAAGCUGUAAGAAGGAAAAAAGCAAUGUUUGCGAUGUAAUUGGACUAAGAAUGCUUGUACAAUUGAUGUGUAAGUUUCAAGGGAAUAUGAGAUGAAGCUUAUGAUGGCAGUGUAUGACUAUUUGUUUUCUUUCUUGUGUGAUUGAAUUAAGGUUCGUGCUGCAAGAGCGACUUUAAGUAAAGGAUUUAACCGUGCACUAGGAAAGUAGGGCGGUGGAAGAGAAUUGGGUAGUUUGUUGUGGUUGUAUAAAUGUUGAUAAUCGGAAGGUAUGUAUAGUUGUGGUCGUAUAACUGUUGAUGGUGGUGGUUUGUUGGCUGGGGAGGCUGAACAGCGGUGGAGGAAAGUAGGGCGGUGGAAGAGAAUUAGGAAGAAGGGUGCCGCCACGAGGUCGAAGUGACGGGGCUGAGCCUAGUCGUGGUGGUCCCGAGCAAAGAAGAGGGAUGAGACAAUAGGGAGGCAAAAGGAGGUUGAUGGGUAGUCAAUCUGCUUUUAACCUUCUUAUUUUUUAUUUUUUUUUAGAAUUAACGGUCAAAUUUAACGGACCUUGACGGCAGCCACCUUAUUAAAAGGCGGAGGUACAGUCCAGCCACCGAUCUGUAAUUUUUGAACUUCAGCCAAUAUUUUGUAAAAUUUGGGAAACUACAGCCACCACUUUGUCAUUUA
rnacentral:lncRNA from 1 species